AUUGAACGCUGGCGGCAGGCCUAACACAUGCGAGUCGAACGGUAACAGGAAGCAGCUUGCUGCUUCGCUGACGAGUGGCGGACGGGUGAGUAAUGUCUGGGAAGCUACCUGAUGGAGGGGGAUAACUACUGGAAACGGUAGCUAAUACCGCAUAAUGUCGCAAGACCAAAGAGGGGGACCUUCGGGCCUCUUGCCAUCGGAUGUGCCCAGAUGGGAUUAGCUUGUUGGUGGGGUAACGGCUCACCAAGGCGACGAUCCCUAGCUGGUCUGAGAGGAUGACCAGCCACACUGGAACUGAGACACGGUCCAGACUCCUACGGGAGGCAGCAGUGGGGAAUAUUGCACAAUGGGCGCAAGCCUGAUGCAGCCAUGCCGCGUGUAUGAAGAAGGCCUUCGGGUUGUAAAGUACUUUCAGCGGGGAGGAAGGGAGUAAAGUUAAUACCUUUGCUCAUUGACGUUACCCGCAGAAGAAGCACCGGCUAACUCCGUG
rnacentral:rRNA from 1 species